UUGGAGGGCAAGUCUGGUGCCAGCAGCCGCGGUAAUUCCAGCUCCAAUAGCGUAUAUUAAAGUUGUUGCAGUUAAAAAGCUCGUAGUUGAAUUUCGGGAUCAAUGUUUCGGUCAUGCCGUUGGUAUGUACUGAUAUUAUUGAUUUCUCACCUUCUAAAGAACCGUAAUGCCAUUAAUUUGGUGUCACGGGGAAUUAGGACUGUUACCUUGAAAAAAUUAGAGUGUUUAAAGCAGGCUCACGCUUGAAUACAUUAGCAUGGAAUAAUGAAAUAGGACAUCCGAUUCUAUUUUGUUGGUUUCUAGGAUCGAUGUAAUGAUUAAUAGGGAUAGUUGGGGGCAUUAGUAUUCAAUUGUCAGAGGUGGAAUUCUUGGAUUUAUUGAAGACUAACUACUGCGAAAGCAUUUGCCAAGGAUGUUUUCAUUAAUCAAGAACGAAAGUUAGGGGAUCGAAGACGAUCAGAUACCGUCGUAGUCUUAACCAUAAACUAUGCCGACUAGGGAUCGGAUGAUGUUGAUUUUUUAAUGACUCAUUCGGCGCCUUACGGGAAAC
rnacentral:rRNA from 1 species